CGAACGCUGGCGGCAUGCCUCACACAUGCACGUCGAACGAGACCUUCGGGUCUAGUGGCGCACGGGUGCGUAACGCGUGGGAACCUGCCCUUAGGUUCGGAAUAACUCCCCGAAAGGGGUGCUAAUACCGGAUAAUGUCUUCGGACCAAAGAUUUAUCGCCUUUGGAUGGGCCCGCGUUGGAUUAGCUAGUUGGUAGGGUAAAAGCCUACCAAGGCGACGAUCCAUAGCUGGUCUGAGAGGAUGAUCAGCCACACUGGGACUGAGACACGGCCCAGACUCCUACGGGAGGCAGCAGUGGGGAAUAUUGGACAAUGGGCGAAAGCCUGAUCCAGCAAUGCCGCGUGAGUGAUGAAGGCCUUAGGGUUGUAAAGCUCUUUUACCCGGGAUGAUAAUGACAGUACCGGGAGAAUAAGCUCCGGCUAACUCCGUG
rnacentral:rRNA from 1 species